rnacentral:rRNA from 1 species
GUCUUUUUGAAUUUAAUUUAAAGUCUGACCUGCCCACUGAGUAAUUAAAUGGCCGCGGUAUUUUGACCGUGCAAAGGUAGCAUAAUCAUUAGUUUUUUAAUUGAAAGCUGGAAUGAAAGGUUUGAUGAGAAAAUAACUGUCUCAAUUUAAUUUAAUUAGAAUUUUAUUUUUAAGUUAAAAAGCUUAAAUAGUUUUAAAAGACGAGAAGACCCUAUAGAGUUUGAUAUUAAUUUAUAUUAUAAUUUUAGGAUUUUAUAGUUAUAAUAUUUAUUUAGUAUUUAAUUGGGGUGAUUAAAAAAUUUAAUUAACUUUUUUUUUAUUUUUACAUUGAUUAGUGAAUAAUUGAUCCAUUUUUUAUGAUUAUAAGAUUAAAUUACCUUAGGGAUAACAGCGUAAUUUUUUUUGAGAGUUCUUAUCGAAAAAAGAGAUUGCGACCUCGAUGUUGGAUUAAAGUUAAUUUUUGGUGUAGAAGCUAAAAUAUUAGGUCUGUUCGACCUUCGAAACUUUACA